rnacentral:rRNA from 1 species
GGAAGGAUCAUUACCGAGUUUUGGGUCUCUUCACCGAGCCCACUCUCCAACCCUUUGUGUACCUACCUCUGUUGCUUUGGCGGGCCGCGGUUCUCCGCGGCCGGCCCCCUAGCCGGGGCUGGCCUGCGCCCGCCAGAGGACCACAAAACUCCAGUCAGUGAACUUUGCUGUCUGAUAUAAAUUCAAUAAACUAAAACUUUCAACAACGGAUCUCUUGGUUCUGGCAUCGAUGAAGAACGCAGCGAAAUGCGAUAAGUAAUGUGAAUUGCAGAAUUCAGUGAAUCAUCGAAUCUUUGAACGCACAUUGCGCCCUUUGGUAUUCCGAAGGGCAUGCCUGUUCGAGCGUCAUUACACCCCUCAAGCUCUGCUUGGUAUUGGGCAGCGUCCUCUCGGACGCGCCUCAAAGACCUCGGCGGUGGCGUCUUGCCUCAAGCGUAGUAGAAAACACCUCGCUUUGGAGGACGGGACGACCGCUCGCCGGACGAACCUUUGAAUUCAUUUUCCUAGGUUGACCUCGGAU